UCGGGCCGCCUCAGGGGCGCCUGGGCCCGGCUCAGCUCCUGAGUUUAAGAGGGGCGCUGCCCGCUGCCGGGAGCUCCCACCCAGCCUUGAGGAAUGCCCCUCCGGCCUGCAGGGCGCAGCGUUCCCCUUGUGCCGCUUCCAAAGGCAGAGCCGGCCCGAAGCGGCCGGGAGGAGCCAUUUCUUGUGGCUGCAGCUCAUUUCCUGUGUCCCCGAUGGGGCCUGGGAGCUCUCCUGGGCUGGGAUCAGCGAUGCCGACCCACCGCGUGUCCCGGGCCAGCGCCUCUCAGGAGGAGCGAGGACUUCCAAGGUCAUCCAAAAUGGAAGGUGCAGCAUCAUUAAUGAGGAGAUCAAAAGAUGAGGAGCUACUGGAGUCCAGUGGAGGCCACAGACGUACUGAGGGGUCUGGAGCAUCUCUGAGGAGAGGCUGAAGGAGCUGGAAGAUGCAAGCAGGCCUGUGUGUGUUAAUGGUCCACACAAACCCCACCCUCGCGUUCCUGAGUGCAUGCAGAGCCUGGCACAGACGGGUGCAAAACCAUGACAUCCCAGUGAUUUUUCCUGUGGGCUGGCUGGCCCCACUGAGGCUGGGGAUUUACAUUAAAAGCAAGCUGGCAAUCUGUGCAUGGCCUCUUAAAGAAAGAUUUGCCAGUGACCCUCUUUGGUUCCUCCUAUGGCAACUGAGCAGAUGUGACUCGCACAGCGGCCAGCCCCAGUAAAGGUGAG